GCCAGUGUGGCAUAGUGGUUUGAGUGCUAGACUACAACUCUGGAGACCAGGGUUCAGUUCCCAGCUUGACC
rnacentral:tRNA from 1 species